UCGGUAAUUCCAGCUCCAAUAGCGUAUAUUUAAGUUGUUGCAGUUAAAAAGCUCGUAGUUGGAUUUUGGGUUGGGGCAGCCGGUCCGCCUCACGGUGUGCACCGGCUGACCCAUCCUUCUUGCCGGGGACGCGCUCCUGGCCUUGACUGGUCGGGACGUGGAGUCGGCGAUGUUACUUUGAAAAAAUUAGAGUGUUCAAAGCAGGCCUACGCUCUGAAUACAUUAACAUGGAAUAACGUGAUAGGACUCUGGUCCUAUUGUGUUGGUCUUCGGGACCGGAGUAAUGAUUAAUAGGGACAGUUGGGGAUAUUCGUAUUUCAUUGUCAGAGGUGAAAUUCUUGGAUUUAUGAAAGACGAACUUCUGCGAAAGCAUUUAUCAAGGAUGUUUUCAUUAAUCAAGAACGAAAGUUGGGGGCUCGAAGACGAUCAGAUACCGUCCUAGUCUCAACCAUAAACGAUGCCGACUAGGGAUUGGCGGAUGUUAAUUUGAUGACUCCGCCAGCACCUUAUGAGAAAUCAAAGUUUUUGGGUUCCGGGGGGAGUAUGGUCGCAAGGCUGAAACUUAAAGGAAUUGACGGAAGGGCACCACCAGGAGUGGAGCCUGCGGCUUAAUUUGACUCAACACGGGGAAACUUACCAGGUCCAGACAUAGUAAGGAUUGACAGAUUGAGAGCUCUUUCUUGAUUCUAUGGGUGGUGGUGCAUGGCCGCUCUUAGUUGGUGGAGUGAUUUGUCUGGUUAAUUCCAAUAACGAACGAGACCUUAACCUGCUAAAUAGUAACGCGAACUCUUGUUCGUGGCGACUUCUUAGAGGGACUAUCCGUUUUUAGCGGAAGGAAGUUUGAGGCAAUAACAGGUCUGUGAUGCCCUUAGAUGUUCUGGGCUGCACGCGCGCUACACUGAUGAAGUCAGCGAGUAUCAACCUUGGCCGAAAGGUCUGGGUAAUCUUUUGAAACUUCAUCGUGCUGGGGAUAGACCAUUGCAAUUAUUGGUCUUCAACGAGGAAUUCCUAGUAAUCGUGAGUCAUCAGCUCACGUUGAUUACGUCCCUGCCCUUUGUACACACCGCCCA
rnacentral:rRNA from 1 species